rnacentral:misc_RNA from 1 species
GCAAACUUGGUCAUUUAGAGGAAGUAAAAGUCGUAACAAGGUUUCCGUAGGUGAACCUGCGGAAGGAUCAUUAUUGAAUAAACCUGGCUUGCUGAUGCUGGUCUCUUCGGAGGCAUGUGCUCGCUUGUCAUCUUUAUAUCUCCACCUGUGCACCUCUUGUAGAACUGGAACGCGAAUUCAUGUCUAAAUUUAUUUGGGCUUUUGGGACUGCCGCGCCGCGCUGCUCGCGCUAUGCCGGCUUUCCUUGUACGCUUUUCCAGGCCUACGUUUUUCAUAUACACCAUUUAAAUGUAACAGAAUGUCACUGGGUCCUUUGUACCUAUAAAAUCAUAUACAACUUUCAGCAACGGAUCUCUUGGCUCUCGCAUCGAUGAAGAACGCAGC